UCUUGGCCCUAGGGGAGUCUUCGUUACUGAGAGUUCUGCUUGACUGUAGAACGACCCUUUGAACCUGAUCCGGCUGAUACCGGCGUAGGAAAGUGGCUGUCGAUGACC
rnacentral:ncRNA from 2 species